GGUUUCUGUACAGCACUUUGAGAUAUCAGCUGAUGUACGAAGGGCUAUAUAAAAAUACAUUUGAUUUGAUUUGAUUAAUAGGAGUGGAAUUAAAAUUAAAAUGGAUCGAAUUACAGGGGUUUUCACCUCAUUGCCACUGCCCACUGCUGAACCACUCCAUAACACCACUGGAUAUCAUAAGGUGAAUGCACCAUUUUGUAAGUCGCUCUGGAUAAGAGCGUCUGCUAAAUGACUUAAAUGUAAAUGUAAAUAACAAAGGUCAACUGCUGUAUGUACAGUAUGUCAAACGGACACCAAAAACUUUGACAUUGAUCCACAUCUCUUUUUCUGGUCACCCCAAUAAUUCUUCAAUGUGGAAUUGGAAUCCUUGAUUACAGUGUAGAAAGCAGAUAACACCCAAUAGUGGAGUCACAGAGAGAGACUGUCUGGGAACCAUAUUUGGUGAUAUGAUUUGAGAUCUGACUGUGUGCCUUAUUAUUGUGAUAGUAAGGAAUGCAUUACUUUUUGCUAUCACUAUGCAGCCAGCUGUUGGAUGCAGAUUUAUUUCAGUCCUAGAACAAGAGCAGCAGUGGAGAGUUUGUUUUUGGAAACACACAUUUAUACACACACACAAACGCACAAAGCAUAUACUCACUACUACCAUGUUUUAACUACCAGUCAUACGUAACAUAAACACACAGAGCACACAUUCCCCCCCCCUUUCCCACUCUCACAUUCUUUUUUAUCAUCCUCUCUUUCACACACACGCAUACACGCACGCACACAGUAAUUAUGUAAUGGCUCUGGAAAGGGGGGUGAAAUAUUUUGGCUGCGGAUUAUGCUCCACGUGCAUCAUCAAGAUGUUUCCUGGUUGUGGUUCAGGUAUUGGCUGCUAAGGCUGAUCUGAAUGAUGAAUGGGACUUAAUUUGGCAGACUAUGGGAGAAGUAGUAACGAUCCAAUAUUCCCCUCUGAUUUAACUCACUUCUCUUCUACAAAAUGCCUAGCAGACUCAGUUUCUAGUGUCUAAUGCUUAUAUCCCCCAUCCUCUCUCCCUCAUGCCCUACAGCAGGUGUCAGGCGAUCACCAGGGAAACAAGUGCAAACAAAGUAAAGGUACACCUGGACCAUGCCAGGUGGAGAAUCAAGACUGGGCUCCCUUAGGACCAACAUAAAAACUGUCUGGCAGCUCGCAUCACAUCCUGUUUUAGAGGGCCAAGGGAUGCAUCCUCGCCUCAACAUACUGCCACCAGAUGCACUACGUCCUCUCAGCCCUGUAUAAUUGUUAGCAUAUGGUCAAAGGGAAAAGCUCUCUGUGACAUUUUCUAAAGAGGCUAGUUGCAGCCUCAAGGCUAAGCGACUCUGUUAAAGCACAGCAUGGUUGUUUUAUAGAGCUGUGUAAAGCAUCCACAGCUGACCAGACUGUGUGUGUGUGUGUCUCAUUAGACUAAAGUGGCUUCCUGUCUUUCAUCUGCAGAAAUAUUUCACCUAUCUUGUGACUUUACCGUCCGAUUCCACGCUCAAGGCUACGGAUAAUGGAAAGGAAAUGAGGAGAAAGGAGUUAAUUUAGAGUUUUCAGGGUACUAGCUUAGUUCUUGUCUAAUAGGUUAGACAGUAAGAUGCUGUCUGCUGUUGCUCCUGAACAGGAUGUCAGGGGAGUAGAGGAGGCAGAUAAUGACUAUUCAUUGAUCAGACUACCUGAAGGUGGAGUCUCGGUAUAUGUGCUUGUCACCAUACAAUAGGCCUUCCUUCCCACUGAUUCUGAUACUGAGUUCUUUCUGUUUUACACAUCAGAUUGGUGCGUGUCUCUAAGAAUGAUAGAUUCAAAGGUUGGGACAUAAUCGAAAGGGAUACACAUAGGCCUACUCUGUAAAAAUAUAUAAUAGCCAACUGUAAUCUCUAACCUCUAACUUCCCUAAUGUCAAACUUGAAGCAAGGGAAUAACAAUGAUACAUGUAAAGCGUUUAUUUUUCAUCAUCCGUUACCCUCAAAUGUUUACAAUGGAAUAUUUGGAGAUCCAGAGACCUAGUUUACAUCCAACUCUCACUGUCCACACAGUGUUGGUGGUCCUCAAAGUGUUUUAGAGAACUUGUCGGGACGCCACAACCAGUUUAUGCUACGCCCUGGUAGACGUGGUACAUAUUUACAUGAUCCACUUCAAACACACAUGCAAACAGAUGUGUACAGGCACGUCUAUACUAACGAAGAGUUCAUCCAAACUCAUUGAAUACAAUCUUGAUGUGUUUGCUGUUUGAUGCAAUGGAAUAAAUCAAGGUUAAAUUCA